GACGAACGCUGGCGGCGUGCCUAAUACAUGCAAGUUGAGCGCUGAAGGUUGGUACUUGUACCGACUGGAUGAGCAGCGAACGGGUGAGUAACGCGUGGGGAAUCUGCCUUUGAGCGGGGGACAACAUUUGGAAACGAAUGCUAAUACCGCAUAAAAACUUUAAACACAAGUUUUAAGUUUGAAAGAUGCAAUUGCAUCACUCAAAGAUGAUCCCGCGUUGUAUUAGCUAGUUGGUGAGGUAAAGGCUCACCAAGGCGAUGAUACAUAGCCGACCUGAGAGGGUGGUCGGCCCCAUUGGGACUGAGACACGGCCCAAACUCCUACGGGAGGCAGCAGUAGGGGAUCUUCGGCAAUGGACGAAAGUCUGACCGAGCAACGCCGCGUGAGUGCAGAAGGUUUUCGGAUCGUAAAACUCUGUUGGUAGAGAAGAACGUUGGUGGGAGUGGAAAGCUCAUCAAGUGACGGUAACUACCCAGAAAGGGACGGCUAACUACGUG
rnacentral:rRNA from 1 species